UGAUUAUAUAGUUUGUUUCUUAGUUGCUCUUCUUAUAUAUUUGUGGCUAUGAGUUACUAUUUUCUAUGGCAAAAAUAUCAUGUCCUCUAAAUAUAUGAUUUUAGAAUGAAGCAAAUUAUAUAAGUUACUAAAUAGUUAUUUUUUUAUUCAAAAUCUGAACAGUUAUGGAUCCAUAUAUGUGAUAUAGAUUAGCAUCACAAGAUUGUAGUGAAUAAUAUACAGAUAUAUUGACAAAUGACAAUAGUGAGAAGAAAACUCGAGGUCCUACACAAAUGCGUGAAAUCUGGGGAAACCGUGAUGGUAGGAAGAUAAAAAUCACAUGUAAUGAUUUAGGACAGCCCCAUGACAAAAAUGCAGACAUGCUUUCAAGCUUUAUUUCAUUAGUAAGAGAUGGAAAAAAUGCUCCAAUUAAUUAUAAAAAUUGGCAUAAGGUACCCGUUAAAUACAAAUGUGGAAUGUGAAAAAUCUUACACGUAUUAAUCAUUAUUUAAUUUAGAAGUUUAAAUUACACAUUUAUCUAUUUUUCAAUAUGUAUCAUCUUUUAUCAUUACUUAAAUUUGUUAAUAAUCAAUGUUUUAUUGUUGUAGGAAAAAUUUGAGAUUCCUCUCGAUGCUAAGAUUUGAACUUUCAGAAUGUUUGGUAAGAAACUUAGAGAGUGGAAAUGUUUCUUAAAAACACUUAUUAUUUGGAGCACUUAUCAUUUGAGGAGCAAAAAAAGUAUAAAGAUAAGAGUGUAUGAUGAUCAAUAGGAAGAACUGAUCAAGUAUUGAGCUACAGAAAAAGCAAAGAGCAAAAGUGCUUAAAAAAAGAGUAGUUGUGCAAAAAAACAAUAUAAUCAUACAACUGGCAGAAAGAGUUUCACACAACUUAAAACAUUACAGAAAGCGGGUGGUGCGAGUACACCAACACGUGUAACUAUGUUCAAAAUUUGUUAUGCAAAAAGAAAGAAGAGUGUUAUAAACGAGAAGACAAAAGAGGCUAUGGUAUGAUCAUCCAAAUAUUUUUAAAUUAUGUAUUAUUUCAUGCUAGCUAGUUUAAUCUUAUUUUAAUUGAUAUGUUUACAAUGUUAAAUUAAUGAUAGUUACAAUUACAAGAAAAAGAAGAACGGAAUGAAGAUGCAUCGAAAGAAAAAAGUAUGAAUGAUGUAUUUUUUGAAGUGAUGGGCAGAGAAAAACAUGGAUCAAUGCACAUGUUUGGAUUCGGUGUCUGCCCGUUAGAUGAAUGGAAAGAUAAAUCAACUUGGAAAAGAAAUCAAAAUAAGUAUGUAGAUGCUCUAGAGUCAAAAGUAGAUGAUUUAGAAUCUCAAGUUGAAAAUCUUAAGGCUAUAUUGAACAACCAAAACAAUGGCAAUGACAUACCUACUGCACAGGCCUUACAACUUGGUGACAAUGCCACAUCUUCAAAUCUUGUUUAGUUUUAUUUUAUUUUGUUAUUUUUUAAUUUACUAACCUAUCAAUUAUAUAUUUAUUUUGUUAAAAUUUAUCCUAUGUAUAGGACAUAAAUGCUACUACCUCACUUAAUAAAGAAACUCGAUGCCAACUUUAGUUUUCAUCUUCAGCAUAUGAUACUCCCGUAG